rnacentral:rRNA from 1 species
GACGAACGCUGGCGGCGUGCUUAACACAUGCAAGUCGAACGAAGUGGGAACGGGUGAGGAAUACGUGGGUAACCUCCCUACUCUUUGGGUUAAGCCUUGGAAACGGGGUCUAAACCGAAUAGAUGGGCUCGCGGCCUAUCAGCUUGUUGGUGCGGUGAUGACCUACCAAGGCGGUGACGGGUAGCCGGCCUGGGAGGGUGACCGGCCACAUUGGGACUGAGAACCGGCCCAGACUACUACGGGAGGCAGCAGUGGGGAAUCUUCCGAAAUGGACGAAAGUCUGACGGGGCAACGCCGCGUGAGUGAUGACGGCCUUAGGGUUGUAAAGCUCUGUUAAUCGGGACGCGGUACCAGAAUAGAAAGCCACGGCUAACUACGUGCCAGCAGCCGCGGUAAUUC